rnacentral:rRNA from 1 species
GAAAUAGCUGGCGGCAGGCUUAACACAUGCAAGUCGAACGGAUGUAGCAAUACAUUAGUGGCGCACGGGUGAGUAACGCGUGGGAACGUGCCCUUAGGUACGGAACAACCUCGGGAAACUGAGGCUAAUACCGUAUAAUAUCUUCGGAUCAAAGAUUUAUCGCCUAAGGAUCGGCCCGCGUUGGAUUAGGUAGUUGGUGAGGUAACGGCUCACCAAGCCGACGAUCCAUAGCUGGUCUGAGAGGAUGAUCAGCCACACUGGGACUGAGACACGGCCCAGACUCCUACGGGAGGCAGCAGUGAGGAAUAUUGGACAAUGGGGGAAACCCUGAUCCAGCCAUGCCGCGUGAGUGAUGAAGGCCUUCGGGUUGUAAAGCUCUUUUACCCCUGACGAUAAUGACGGUAAGGGGAGAAAAAGCCACGGCUAACUUCGUGCCGGCAGCCGCGGUAAUACGAAGGUGGCAAGCGUUGUUCGGAUUUACUGGGCGUAAAGAGUGCGUAGGCGGUUUAACAAGUCAGGAGUGAAAGCCC